GCGAGAGGCGACGAGCCGCGCCGAGGAGGAGUGAUGUCAGCAGCAGAGGUUGGCCCUGAGGUCAGCCUUGGCAUCGCAGACCCGCACCUUCCUCAUUUACUGCUGAGAAGUGCUGCAUUCGGCAGCCCAGGGUGCCAGUGCCCGCUGACCACAGAGAGCCCAUCCAGGCGCUGACGUCACCAUCAGCAGCCAUUUUUAACGCUCGUCCACUCACUUACUGCAGCAGCUCAGCAGAUUCAUAACAGGCUGGCGUGACAGGCAGGUCUACAUCAUACCCAUAACCAGGGUGUUUCCAAUCAGUCUGUGGGAAAUUGGGUGAUUAUUUUGGAUUAAUACCCUCUCUUAGGUUAUAUAGUUUCAAUUAUUUUGGAAUGCACUGCACAGGGGUUGACAUCUAGGAAGGUCUGCAUUUGUGCCAUGGUCCUCCAUUUGAAGUGAAUGAAGCAGUAAUAGUGGGCAACAUGUGCUUGUUCUCAGGCAGUGCUGCUCUCUAUUGGAGGGAAGGAGUCACUGCAUUAAUCCAACAGGCACAGAAACAAAUGUCACCCAUAUGCAUUUUCAUAACAAAACCCGUCAUGUCCAUGUGGAAACAGCCACAAAUUACAGCACAAUAACAAAACAAUUGAACCUCACAUGACAUAAUACUUUGCAUAUGGUUGACAGCUCCUGUUUGGAUGUUUACAGAACGUACAGAGGAGAAGGGCAGACACUUGUACUCACCUGGAAACUUGUUUAGAAAUAAAUAUCAUCCUGAAAUUACAGUAACACCAUCUGAGACUGAGAGCUAGAGGAUCCAGAUCUGACAAUACUCAAUCAUUAAUAUUAUUAUUGUUAUUAUUAUUAAUAAGCCUAAAUAUGGCAGUUCCAGUUAACUGUUCCUCGUCUCUCUCUAUUCUCUCUCUUCUUUUUUAACACCCAUCUCUCCCCCAUUUUUUUCAACUCACCCCAACCGGUCGAGGCCGAUUGCUGCCAACACUGAGUCUAAUUCUAGAGUUUUUUUCUGUUAAAGGGGAGUUUUUUAUCCUCCACAGUUGCCAAUGCCUUGAGAGAAUGUGUGUUGUGAUUGGCGCUACACGAAUAAAACUAAACUGACCUGAA